GUGGGGAAUCUUCCGCAAUGGACGAAAGUCUGACGGAGCAACGCCGCGUGAGUGAAGAAGGUUUUCGGAUCGUAAAGCUCUUUCGUUAGGGACGAACGUGCUCUUUGUGAAUAAUGAGGAGUAAUGACGGUACCUAAAUAAGAAGCCACGGCUAACUACGUGCCAGCAGCCGCGGUAAUACGUAGGUGGCAAGCGUUGUCCGGAAUUAUUGGGCGUAAAGCGCGCGCAGGCGGGAUAUCAAGUCUGUCGUAAAAGUGCGAGGCUCAACCUCGUGAGGGGACAGAAACUGGUAUUCUUGAGUGUCGGAGAGGAAAGUGGAAUUCCUAGUGUAGCGGUGAAAUGCGUAGAUAUUAGGAAGAACACCAGUGGCGAAGGCGACUUUCUGGACGAAAACUGACGCUGAGGCGCGAAAGCCAGGGGAGCGAACGGGAUUAGAUACCCCAGUAGUCC
rnacentral:rRNA from 1 species